UACGGAGGGUGCAAGCGUUAUCCGGAUUCACUGGGUUUAAAGGGUGCGUAGGAGGGCAGGUAAGUCAGUGGUGAAAUCUCCGGGCUUAACUCGGAAACUGCCGUUGGUACUAUCUGUCUUGAAUACCGUGGAGGUGAGCGGAAUAUGUCAUGUAGCGGUGAAAUGCUUAGAUAUGACAUAGAACACCAAUUGCGAAGGCAGCUCGCUACACGAAUAUUGACUCUGAGGCACGAAAGCGUGGGGAUCAAACAGG
rnacentral:rRNA from 1 species